rnacentral:rRNA from 1 species
UACGUAGGUGGCGAGCGUUGUCCGGAUUUACUGGGCGUAAAGGGCGCGUAGGCGGUCGUGACAAGUCACUUGUGAAAUCUCCGGGCUUAACUCGGAACGGUCAAGUGAUACUGCCCGGGGCUCGGAGUCCGGAAGAGGCGAGUGGAAUUCCCGGUGUAGCGGUGAAAUGCGCAGAUAUCGGGAGGAACACCAAUGGCGAAGGCAGCUCGCUGGGACGUGACUGACGCUGAG